rnacentral:rRNA from 1 species
UACAGAGGGGGCAAGCGUUGUCCGGAAUCAUUGGGCGUAAAGCGCGUGUAGGCGGCCCGAUAAGUCCGCUGUGAAAGUCCAGGCUCAACCCUGGAAUGCCGGUGGAUACUGUCGGGCUCGAGUCCGGAAGAGGCGAGUGGAAUUCCUGGUGUAGCGGUGAAAUGCGCAGAUAUCAGGAGGAACACCAACGGCGAAGGCAGCUCGCUGGGACGG